AACAGACUUCUCCUUAUUCACACUUCUGCCAAGCCAGCCUUUCAUUUUGCUUUCUUAAAUGGGACAAUUGAAGACAUGCUGACGUUAAGCGGGCCUUGGUUCAAAUGGAAGCUGGGAUACGUUCUUCCUUUGCCUUUUUCAACUGAUGCUACUGAUCAUGGUGACCGCAGAAUGAGUGGUAGUUUCUAAGGAGUGAUUCCUGGACAAUAUUUUGAACAAAGCCUAAAACUGGAGUAAACAGGAAGAAGGUCCGUCUGGAUAGCCCGUUUAACAAGCUCAGAACAACC
rnacentral:lncRNA from 1 species